rnacentral:rRNA from 1 species
AUCGAACGCUGGCGGCAUGCCUAACACAUGCAAGUCGAACGAGACCUUCGGGUCUAGUGGCGCACGGGUGCGUAACGCGUGGGAAUCUGCCCUUGGGUUCGGAAUAACAGUUGGAAACGACUGCUAAUACCGGAUGAUGACGUAAGUCCAAAGAUUUAUCGCCCAAGGAUGAGCCCGCGUAGGAUUAGCUAGUUGGUGAGGUAAAGGCUCACCAAGGCGACGAUCCUUAGCUGGUCUGAGAGGAUGAUCAGCCACACUGGGACUGAGACACGGCCCAGACUCCUACGGGAGGCAGCAGUGGGGAAUAUUGGACAAUGGGCGAAAGCCUGAUCCAGCAAUGCCGCGUGAGUGAUGAAGGCCUUAGGGUUGUAAAGCUCUUUUACCCGGGAUGAUAAUGACAGUACCGGGAGAAUAAGCUCCGGCUAACUCCGUG